rnacentral:lncRNA from 1 species
AGCGGCGGUAAACUCCUUUGUGGCGAGACAAAGACGGGGACAGAGAGUUUCCCGGAAUUUCUGCAGAGUCCCUGGCCCGGCUGGGGCAAUGAGGUGGUGGGCUUUUCCUGGGGGGGGAACCUGCCUUGCCCCCGCAAGUGGCUAAGUCCAGCAGGCCACAGACAGGAUUUCCUCACCCUCAAGGACCCCGGGACUGGUAGCCAGGACAGGGAACACUGGGAAAAGACCCAGAGACUGAGGGAAGGAGGGGAUCCACAGUCAGUGAAGUACGAGGCUUCCUUCACCGCUGAAGGUGAACCAUCCGUCCCCUUGCCUGCUGUCACGGGACCGUGAGCUCUGUCCUGCUCAACUCCAAGGGCAGAAGAACACCCAGGGCACCAAGCCCUGGCUUGCUCAGCUCCGCAGGUGGGACAGCGCCCAGGGCACCAUGGGCAGGAGAAAGAAUCCGAGCCCUGCCCUGCUCCGCUCCAUGGGCAGGAGAGAGGUCAGGGCACCGCAAGCAGGAACGUGCUGUCCAGAGCAGCAGCAGUUCUGGAUUCAGAACUAUACUCCUAUGGGCUACUGUUCCCCAGAGCCAACACACCUCACCUCUUCCACUACUCUGAACGCUCCUUGCGGGUGGGAAGCCCCGAUGAGGCUCUCACCCUUCUCCAAAUGUCCAGCCCUGGCUUCCUCCCAGUAGCACCCACGGCUGGACCCGGGCCCCGACUCUCCCCCCCCCGACCCCAGCGGCCCAACACUGACCACUCCCACUGCUCGUGCUGCCACCGCUCCGAGAGCUGCUGAUCGAAGAGCCGCUGGGCGUCCUCAGCCGCACGGGCCCCGCCGGGGGCAGCUGCAAUCUGGGCACGGCUCCUGUCACCGGGCAGACCUUCUUGGCGACGGGCCUCCUGCGUGGAGACGCGGGAUCUUCCCCUGUGCCGGAGGGGAGGCAGCGUUUCAGAAACGAUGCCCUCCCACACGCCACUGCCGGAUUUCCUGGAGGCAGUGGGAGGCUGUUCCCUUGGAGGAGACGUGGCUGGGUUGGGACGGACGUUUCUGCCAUUGCCGUUCUGGUGUGGAGAGAGUGAGGAGUUCCCGCCGGCGGCUGGGAGGACCGGAACCUCGCCACAACUCAGAGGGCUGGUCUGGGAAGGGGGGCUGUGGCCCAACGGGGUCUUGGCGGCACCUCCAGAGACCUGUGCAGACACAACACGAUCCACAUUGUCCACCAUGAGGCUGGACCUAGAUCCGGCCCAUGCCAUCAACC